UGGGGAAUUUUGGACAAUGGGCGCAAGCCUGAUCCAGCCAUGCCGCGUGAGUGAAGAAGGCCUUCGGGUUGUAAAGCUCUUUCAGACGGAAAGAAAUCCCUUGGGCGAAUACCCUGGGAGGAUGACGGUACCGUAAGAAGAAGCACCGGCUAACUACGUGCCAGCAGCCGCGGUAAUACGUAGGGUGCGAGCGUUAAUCGGAAUUACUGGGCGUAAAGCGUGCGCAGGCGGUUUAGUAAGACAGGCGUGAAAUCCCCGGGCUCAACCUGGGAACUGCGCUUGUGACUGCUAAGCUAGAGUACGGCAGAGUGGGGUGGAAUUCCACGUGUAGCAGUGAAAUGCGUAGAGAUGUGGAGGAACACCGAUGGCGAAGGCAGCCCCCUGGGCCGAUACUGACGCUCAUGCACGAAAGCGUGGGGAGCAAACA
rnacentral:rRNA from 1 species